rnacentral:misc_RNA from 1 species
AAGUCGUAACAAGGUUUCCGUAGGUGAACCUGCGGAAGGAUCAUUACAUUCAGUAGCUUGCUACUGUUAGGGGGGUCCAUUAGUCUGUAUAGUAUCACUACUGAUGAGCAGCACGACUCCCUGCCUAUACCCUUGUCUUUUGCGCACUCAUGUUUCCUCGGCGGCUUGAUACCCGCCGGCUGGAUCAAUCUAUAACCUUUUUAAUUUUCAAUCAGCGUCUGAAAAACCUAAUAAUUACAACUUUCAACAACGGAUCUCUUGGUUCUG